rnacentral:rRNA from 1 species
CGGGGAAUAUUGCACAAUGGAGGGAACUCUGAUGCAGCGACGCCGCGUGAGUGAUGAAGGAAUUCGUUUCGUAAAACUCUGUUCUAUGGGAAGAAAAGGACUGUACCAUAGGAGAAAGCUCCGGCUAAAUACGUGCCAGCAGCCGCGGUAAUACGUAUGGAGCGAGCGUUGUCCGGAAUUAUUGGGCGUAAAGGGUGCGCAGGCGGCUUUACAAGUUGGAUGUGAAAUAUUUUGGCUCAACCACAAACGUGCAUCCAAAACUGCAAAGCUUGAGUUAAGGAGAGAUACGUGGAAUUCCUGGUGUUGCGGUGGAAUGCGUAGAUAUCAGGAGGAAUACCGGAGGCGAAGGCGGCUUACUGGACUUAAACUGACGCUCAGGCACGAAAGCGUGGGGAGCAAGCAGG